UACGGCCAAAUAGCGUCGAAACACCAGUUCCCUACGAUCACCGAAGUUAAGCAACGUCAAGGUUGGUCAGUAACUAGAUGGGUGACCACUUAGAAAUACCAGGUGCUGUAA